GACGAACGCUGGCGGCGUGCCUAAUACAUGCAAGUAGAACGCUGAAGAGAGGAGCUUGCUCUUCUUGGAUGAGUUGCGAACGGGUGAGUAACGCGUAGGUAACCUGCCUUGUAGCGGGGGAUAACUAUUGGAAACGAUAGCUAAUACCGCAUAACAAUGGAUGACUCAUGUCAUUUAUUUGAAAGGGGCAAAUGCUCCACUACAAGAUGGACCUGCGUUGUAUUAGCUAGUAGGUGAGGUAACGGCUCACCUAGGCGACGAUACAUAGCCGACCUGAGAGGGUGAUCGGCCACACUGGGACUGAGACACGGCCCAGACUCCUACGGGAGGCAGCAGUAGGGAAUCUUCGGCAAUGGGGGCAACCCUGACCGAGCAACGCCGCGUGAGUGAAGAAGGUUUUCGGAUCGUAAAGCUCUGUUGUAAGUCAAGAACGAGUGUGAGAGUGGAAAGUUCACACUGUGACGGUAGCUUACCAGAAAGGGACAGCUAACUACGUGCCAGCAGCCGCGGUAA
rnacentral:rRNA from 1 species